rnacentral:rRNA from 1 species
UUCGGAUUGUAGGCUGCAGCUCGCCUACAUGAAGUCGGAGUUGCUAGUAAUCGCGGAUCAGAAUGCCGCGGUGAAUGCGUUCCCGGGUCUUGUACACACCGCCCGUCACACCAUGGAAGUUGGGGCGCCCGAAGUUGGUCGAGGAAUAGAUUACCUAAGGCGAAACCAAUGACUGGGGUGAAGUCGUAACAAGGUAGC